GGGGGGGGNUGCUAUAAUGCAGUCGAGCGAACAGAUAAGGAGCUUGCUCCUUUGACGUUAGCGGCGGACGGGUGAGUAACACGUGGAUAACCUACCUAUAAGACUGGGAUAACUUCGGGAAACCGGAGCUAAUACCGGAUAACAUAUUGAACCGCAUGGUUCAAUAGUGAAAGGCGGCUUUGCUGUCACUUAUAGAUGGAUCCGCGCCGUAUUAGCUAGUUGGUAAGGUAACGGCUUACCAAGGCAACGAUACGUAGCCGACCUGAGAGGGUGAUCGGCCACACUGGAACUGAGACACGGUCCAGACUCCUACGGGAGGCAGCAGUAGGGAAUCUUCCGCAAUGGGCGAAAGCCUGACGGAGCAACGCCGCGUGAGUGAUGAAGGUCUUCGGAUCGUAAAACUCUGUUAUCAGGGAAGAACAAAUGUGUAAGUAACUGUGCACAUCUUGACGGUACCUGAUCAGAAAGCCACGGCUAACUACGUGCCAGCAGCCGCGGUAAUACGUAGGUGGCAAGCGUUAUCCGGAAUUAUUGGGCGUAAAGCGCGCGUAGGCGGUUUUUUAAGUCUGAUGUGAAAGCCCACGGCUCAACCGUGGAGGGUCAUUGGAAACUGGAAAACUUGAGUGCAGAAGAGGAAAGUGGAAUUUCCAUGUGUAGCGGUGAAAUGCGCAGAGAUAUGGAGGAACACCAGUGGCGAAGGCGACUUUCUGGUCUGUAACUGACGCUGAUGUGCGAAAGCGUGGGGAUCAAACAGGAUUAGAUACCCUGGUAGUCCACGCCGUAAACGAUGAGUGCUAAGUGUUAGGGGGUUUCCGCCCCUUAGUGCUGCAGCUAACGCAUUAAGCACUCCGCCUGGGGAGUACGACCGCAAGGUUGAAACUCAAAGGAAUUGACGGGGACCCGCACAAGCGGUGGAGCAUGUGGUUUAAUUCGAAGCAACGCGAAGAACCUUACCAAAUCUUGACAUCCUUUGACCGCUCUAGAGAUAGAGUCUUCCCCUUCGGGGGACAAAGUGACAGGUGGUGCAUGGUUGUCGUCAGCUCGUGUCGUGAGAUGUUGGGUUAAGUCCCGCAACGAGCGCAACCCUUAAGCUUAGUUGCCAUCAUUAAGUUGGGCACUCUAAGUUGACUGCCGGUGACAAACCGGAGGAAGGUGGGGAUGACGUCAAAUCAUCAUGCCCCUUAUGAUUUGGGCUACACACGUGCUACAAUGGACAAUACAAAGGGCAGCUAAACCGCGAGGUCAAGCAAAUCCCAUAAAGUUGUUCUCAGUUCGGAUUGUAGUCUGCAACUCGACUACAUGAAGCUGGAAUCGCUAGUAAUCGUAGAUCAGCAUGCUACGGUGAAUACGUUCCCGGGUCUUGUACACACCGCCCGUCACACCACGAGAGUUUGUAACACCCGAAGCCGGUGGAGUAACCAUUUAUGAGCUAGCCGUCGAAGGG
rnacentral:rRNA from 1 species